UUAACUUCUUAAUUAUAAAAAUUGCUCUCCAAAGAAGUGUAUUGGAAACAUCCAGGUGUGGGGUUAUAAUUAAAAAUGAAAGCAAAACAGCCUCCCUUAAAAGAAGGGAAACUCUUAGUUCAGACUUACUGGAGAGCUGAUAAUGAGAGGGGAAAUGCUGGCAUCUAUAGAUACUAGGAAGUCUUGGGAUUUGGAUUUUAUCACUGACCAUCUGG
rfam:Myotis brandtii contig208911, whole genome shotgun sequence.